AUAAUGGAGUAGAAAGUUCAAGAGACUGUGAAACCGCCCAGGGGUAAACGGGUAGGACCGCUCACCGCGAUCGCGAGGGGACUCAGUCCGCUGCUUCUCGCCGGGGCGCCGUUCCGCGGGCGGUCGUCUGCCGCCUCGUCGGCGCUCGAUUUCCGGGGCGCCUGCAUCGAACGCACUUCUCCUCCGAUCCGUCGUCGCGACCCGUUCCCAUAGGGCCGCUUGGCAGGCGGCGUCCACAGUUCGCAGAUAAGCGCCCCGCCGCCGUCGGCUUAGCGGCCGGCCGGCGUCGGUACCCACGCACUUCUCUCGACCGAGCCCGUCGCUCCAUGAAAGCGAAGGCACGGCUAACCGACGGAGACGGGCUAACGCACCUCGCCCUCAGAACUCACGAGGCAGCUG